rnacentral:tRNA from 2 species
GGGCGAUUAGCUCAGCUGGUUCAGAGCAUCUGGUUUACACCCAGAGGGUCGGCGGUUCGAAUCCGUCAUCGCCCACGA